rnacentral:tRNA from 1 species
UCCCUUGUGGCUCAGUUGGUAGAGCAUGGUGUUUGCAAUGCCAGGGUUGUGAGUUCGAUUCCCACGGGGGAC